AGGCCUCUCCAUCCUGAUAGCGAGGGAGGCCUCAUCGGGUUUGACCCCGGCAUGCUUUGACACCUUUUUCACUGUUGGAAGAUGCUCUGACUUUAAAGUAGAAAGCAGACUUGACUGAAGCUGAUUGACACAGGUCAAGGGGACUUCAAGGAAGAAAGCCAGCCUUAGACUGACAUCAGAGAACCAAACUCCGGUGUCUAAGCUCAAGCCUUGCGUGGAUGAAACAGUCCCAACGAACACUUUAAAAAGACAAAUGUUCCCGACAGCACUGGUUGAAUUCAAAACUCGGCAGAUCCAUGUUCUUAUCCUUAGACAAGAGAGGGGCCAUAACAAGAUGGAAUGACGGAACAGACGUGAGAGAUGAUGGUACAGUGACUCGGGUAACCCCAGAAAAGGGACAGCUCUUCUACAGCUCAGUGGGGACAGGGACAAAAAGAAACAAUUUCAUUUCAGUCCACCCAGAGGGUCUGCACUUCUCGGAGCCAGAAGGUGGAGAAGAGUAGGGAUGGAGGAAGUUCGAAGUUUUAGGAGUCUGCUCUUGGGUCCCUAGGCAUGAGGACAAGCUUUUCCUGUACUCAAUGCUCAUCUCUCAGUUGUGCCCACAUUGGUACACAUUACUUGCUUUCAACUGCUGCUGCUGCUGUUUCCUAAUUCAAUAAAGAUAUGGCUGGCUCAGCAGAGAGCUGUCAUCCA
rnacentral:lncRNA from 1 species